UAAUAUAGUUUCAAAUUCACAUACACAAGCUAACGAAAUUAUGAUAAUAUUGAUUAAUAGUAUUAAAUUUUAUCAGCAUUUCCUUUAUUUGUCUGCCAAUAUUUGUAAACAGACUUAAAAAGGAAAAAGUAAAAUUUGAUCAGUCUGUUCCGGUUGCAAUUCGAUAAGGAUUUAAUAAAUGGUAUACAGGAAGUAUGCAAGACGAAUUAAUGAAUAAACCCAAAAAUUGGGUUAACAAAAUCGUCUAUGUUUGUAAAAUUAUCAAUGAAAUUAAAAAUACUAGUAGACAUACAAAAAAAUAUCCGAUAAAAACAAUGAAAUCAAGAAUAUAUGUAUAUAGAAAAAAGUAAAACAAAAACUUUCGAUAAUGCGCGAAUGAAUAUUUUCCGAGAAUUGCUUCAAAUUCUGAGUUGACCUUUAGACUGUUGUCUGAUAAGCGAAAAGCUUAAUUGACAAUUUGGUUAAGCAAUGCGACGUCACAUGAGAAGCCACUGCGAUCCCCAAACGCCAACACCGCACAUGGCACAUGGCACCCAGUAGCCAAAGCCAAAGC